UGAGAAUGUGACUCAGUUGGUAGAGUAUUUGCCUUGAAAGCACAAAACCCUGGGUUCAAUCCCCAGCACUUCAA